AGGUAAGCAGGGUAGACAGAGGUAAGCAGGGUACACAGAGGUAACCAGGGUACACAGAGGUAACCAGGGUACACAGAGGUAACCAGGGUACACAGAGCAGAGGUAAGCAGGGUACACAGAGGUAAGCAUCGACCUGGAUGGCAGACAUUACGUCUCAUAUACCAGUCAGGAAUCGCUGUUCAGUCAGGAAUCGCUGUUCAGUCAGGAAUCGCUGUUCAGUCAGGAGUCGCUGUUCAGUCAGGAGUCGCUGUUCAGUCAGGAAUCGCUGUUCAGUCAGGAAUCGCUGUUCAGUCAGGAAUCGCUGUUCAGUCAGGAAUCGCUGUUCAGUCAGGAAUCGCUGUUCAGUCAGGAGUCGCUGUUCAGUCAGGAAUCGCUGUUCAGUCAGGAGUCGUUGUUCAGUCAGGAGUCGCUGUUCAGUCAGGAAUCGCUGUUCAGUCAGGAGUCGUUGUUCAGUCAGGAAUCGCUGUUCAGUCAGGAAUCGCUGUUCAGUUCAGGAAUCGUUGUCGACGGUGACUUCACAUUUUCAUUUCAAUAUACUGUUACCUCUUUACUUAGGUUGACGGCAUGACGUUGAUUCAUUUUACUCUCAACAUUGAAACAAGGUGAAAUAAAUGCCUAAUCAAAUAUAAAAUGUUUCAUCAUUUCAAUCACUCAAUGACUAAAUCUACCAACCUGCCCCCAGAACAGCAUAUGAACGCGUUCCACAGGGAUGCUGAGCCCAUGUGGAUGUCCUUUGGGUGGUGGACCAUGCUUGAUACACACAGGAAACUGUUGAGUGUGAAAAACCCAGCGCCUGGCACCUAUCGUCAUACCUUGUUUAAAGACACUUCAAUCUUCUGUCUCGUCCGUUCACCCUCUGAAUGGCACACACACAAUCCAUGUCUCAGCUGUCUCAGGGCUUAAAUAUCCAACUUUAACCCGUCUCCUCCCCUUCAUCUAUACUGAUUGAAGUGGAUUUAACUGGGGACAUUAAUAAGGGAUCA
ensembl:lncRNA